rnacentral:sRNA from 1 species
GCAAUUAGGUAAUUGUAGCUCCCAUCAUUGCAGGCCUGGAUUGUAUUCUUGAAGCAAUUAGGUAAUUGUAGCUCCCGUGUUCUCAUCAGCUUGAGUGGAUACCUGACCUCCCUGUGUGAAUGCUGUGACCACUGAGGUGGAGUCACUUGUGUCAAACCCUGAGUCUGAAGGCCCAAUCAGGAACUAGCAAAGAGAUUUUCCCAGACUGCAGCUCGUUUUAGAGCUGUUUGUAAAAGGCGCUCAGCUAAUGUGCUGUCUCCACAGAUGAACUGGACAGAUGUGAAUCCUCUGAGGAGCCGAGGACUCAAGGUGGGGCACGCUUGAGGAAUCUACGCAUGGCAUAUAUGACUCCAUUUAUGACAGUCAAUAGCAGAUGGGCAAGGAGGCGUCUGGGAGCCAGAAGAGGUAGAGUUUACAAAUGCAUUCUUCCUAGAUCUACGAACUUUUAUAAGUGCAAACGUUGGGAACUCUCCAUGGCUUCUCGGUCCACACAGUGAGGCCAGUGUCACCGAGCACCUGUAUGCCAGCCUCCUUCAUCCUCUGGGUCGGGGCUCAUGGUUGGUUCACUUGACAAACUGCUUCAGGACCCAUCUAUGGAGAAGUGGAGUAAAGAGAGGUGCCUCUCCCAGCCUCAGAUAAUCUAGGUGGAUGCCUGCAGGUGACCCCGGUCUUAAGGGAUGAGCGAAAUCAGGCUUGGGGAGCUGUACAGCAAAGGAUAAUCCUGCAUUGCCGUGGCUCUGAGCAGCAGGGUGACCCCAAUUCCAAGGUCGCCUGCCGAAGUCUCUGCCCACUGCCAUUUUCUACGGACCUUCAGCCAGCCGGCCGCUGUCAGAGCCCUGGAGCCAGCUUCCAGAUGAGAGACUAGCAGGGGACAAGGGUUCCAAGUUCGAGCCCCAGGAAAAUAAAAAUAAGUAAAUAACUGGACGCCAGAUGGCCUGAAAGGGCAGAGCUGGAGCACAGGAUUAACUGGCUGGUAAUAAAAGCUGUCACGGCAGCAUGUCAUCGUUGGCGACGUGUCACCGUUGGCGGGUUAUUUAUUAGCUCUUCCCUUUGGAUACCAAAUGUCAAACAUGUUAAUGUGCAGAAACCCAGCCUUCCCCUCCCAGCUGCUCUGGCGUUGGCUGCCAGCUCCAUUGUCUCCUGCGGAGGACCUGUCGGGGAGUUCUGCAUUCAUAUGUCAUGGAUAAGACUGAAAUCCCAGCGUUCAGAAGGAUGAGGCAGGAGGACUGUUUGUUUCAAGCUCUUCUGAAGCUACAUAGCAAGUCCCUGGUCGCUUAAAACAAAAGCAUGGCUGGAGAGAGAGCUCAGUGGUAUUGUACAUGCUGUACAUAAAGUCGGAUGCGAUGCAGACAUCUGGAACCUCGGCGCACCCGUAGCAAGGUAUUUGGUCACCAUGAGAAAAAAUAGCCAGUAGAAGAAAGCUGUGUGACCCUCUCGGCCAAUGUAAGAAACAGCCCAGUCUUGAACUCUCAACCCUCAGGAGGCUGAGGACUGUGAGCUGCAGACUAGCCUGGGCUACAAAAUCAAACCCUGAUCUCAGAAGGUGAGAAAAGAAGAGAAGAUUGCAAAUGCCCGUUUUCCAAAGAAAAGCCCACGAAAAUCCCUCUCUGGCAUGCUCUAGUCAGUGGCUGGCAGCGUUUCCGGUGAGGGAGAAGGCAGCAUUUGAGUUAUUUGUCACUUCCUUUUUCAUCCUCUCAGUAUGGAAACAAACUUCUAGUUUCUUAGCUUCCCCUGAUGAGGUCUUUCAAAAUGUCCUGUGAGUGGGUGUAAAAACAAGAAAAUCAUGUUUGGAGGAUGACAUCAGAAUCUACAGAAUUCUAGAGCUGGAAUCCCAAAUGUGACAUCUAUGAAAUGGAGUUUCCUGAAACGACAGUUUUGAAUCAGCCAGCUUUAAUGGGAGUGAGGGGAAGUGAGGUUGAAUAGACACAGACAGAAAGGGGCUUCAGAGGUCAAGUUUAGUGAGCUAGAGGGGUGGCUCGGCAGUUAAGUGCAGGGACCUGAGUUGGGUUCCCAGA